UGUGUUUUGGGCCGCCCAUUUGGGCCUAAUAGCUUUUUCAUAACCCAACUUUCCAUAACCCAAAAUAUGUCUACUGUUGCCCAAAAAAUUAUCCUUUUCAUGCACUAUGUACUGUUUUAUAAUUUCAUUUCCAAAAUUACCCCUCCACAUCCAUGUUAGCAGCCAUCUCCCUCUCCAUGUCACGGGUUGUGCUUUUAAUAAAUAAACACAAAAAUCUUAAACAAGUUAGCAAAACCCACGCAACACCCGACUGUGAAAUUUGGGGAAACCAGGUUAGGGCAAAAGGAGAGAAAGUCAGAGAGAGUCCUUAGCUUCUUUCUCUUCUCUCUCUUUUCUCUCUGUUGGGUGAAUUUCUCAGUGAAAAAUCGAAAGCUUGUAAGCUGUAAUCGAUUCAUGCGUGUCUCCAUACUACUGAUCCGCAAAUUUCUUCAAAUAAAGCCCACGCGACACUCGACUCUGAAAUUUGGGGAACCCAAGUUAGGGCAAAAGGAGAGAAAGUCACAGAGAGUCCUUAGCUUCGCUCUCUUCUCUCUCUUCUCUCUCUGUUGUGUGAAUUUCUCAAUGAAAAAUCGAAAGCUUGUAAGCUGUAAUCGAUUCACGCGUGUCGCCGUACUACUGAUCCGCAAAUUUCUUCAGAUAAAGCGAUUUCAUCUCCAGGUUCUCGCCUUCAUUUAGAGAUUUCCACUCUGUUAUGAGCUCUCUUACACUAUUCAAGUUAGAUUCGCUUUCUAGUCCAUCUUUUAGCUUCUGUUUGGUUGCUCAGAAAACUGAGGUAAAUGAGGAAAAUAUGAGGCGAAACUUAUAUGAUUAUUUUUUUUUCUAUUGUUGUUGGUUUCUUUGCAAUGAAAGAGAGCAAAUGUUUAGGCGCAGCUGUAAAUCUUGAGCUUUGUUCUUUAUUCCCGUUUUUUUUCUUCCGGCGACCACACGAACGAACGAUAAAUAUGUACAUUUUUGUGUAUUCUUUACUUGGUCUUUCCUGAUUACUAUUUUUGUUUGGUAAUUUUUUUCAUUGAUUUCAUGCAUCUGGAACUAUUCAGUGCACGUAAUUUAGGUUUCUGGCCUAAUUUUUGGGAUUUAGGUUCUCUUGAGAUUGACAAUUAAUUAGUGUUUUUAUUUUUAAUUGCAAUUUAGCACCCGAGGAAAGCUGAAUUUCUAAACUUCUGUUCUGUGAUUAGAUGCUUAGUUUGUGACAUGACUGAUUUUCUCGAAUACCUAUGUAAUUUCUGCUCUGUGGGAUGGUUGAUUUUGUUUGACCUUGAUUGAAUUUUUAAACUCUUUUUUUGCUCUUGGAUUUGGUUCUUGAGGUAAGAUAAAGUUGUGGGUAUGUUUUUAUUUUAUUUGUUUUUGUGUUCUUUUAAUAAAAGCUUGCUGUUUUUAUGUUGGGUGUUUGUUUAUUAAUGUUUUUUAGCACUUUGUGUGGAUUGAUUGAUUGUAAUCCUAAUUUUCUGUGCUUUUUUUUUUCUUUUCUUUUUUUCUGGGUUUUUUGGUUUAAUUCGUUCAAGGGUUUUGUUUAAAGGUGGUAAGGAGCAGAUUAUAUAAGCCUAUAAGCAUGUAUUCAAAGCUGGUUGGAUUGAGGAAAGCUGAACUUCUGAACUUCUGCUGUGUGAUUAGAUGCUUAGUUUGUGACAUGACUUAUUUUCUCGAAUAUCUAUGUAACUUCUGCUCUGUGGGAUGGUUGAUUUUGUUUGACCUUGAUUGAAUUUUUAAACUCUUUUUAGUUAAAUGUUAAUGGAAACUGAUGCAAACCCUAAUGAGUAGGUGUGGCAAUAUGAGCUCUUGGGAAUUAGGACAUGUUUGGGAGACAAAGUUGGAGAAUUCAAGAACAGAUGCCAGAGGCAGUAUAAGCUAUUUGAACCAAAACCCACCUCUCCUGCCACCUAGAGAGCUGUUUUUUAUGAUAUAUUUUAAAAUUAAGUUUAUAAUUUGUUUUUCCUUUUUUUAAUGCAUAGAGCUUCACAUCAAACAGCAAAUAAGGUUUUCUUACUUUGUGCCAAAUGGAGGGUCCUUAGCUUCUCUCUCUUCUCUCUCUUUUCUCUCUGUUGUGUGAAUUUCUCAGUGAAAAAUCGAAAGCUUGGGUUCUUAUCCAUCUUAAUUUUUAUUAAAUGAAAACCAUGGGUUGGGUUCAAUCACUGCUACCAUUGGACUAUGAUACUCUUUGAUAAGAUAUAUUUAUUUUAAAUUUGUUAAGGUUCAUCAUUACAAAAAUACAAUUUUAAUUAUUUAAUUUGAAAUUAUAUGCUGUAAUUUUAUUCAGAUUUGUUUAUAUUAGCUACGAGAUUGUUUCUUGCUGGUUCUUGCUUCUCAAAAGUUGUCUUAAAUGCUUAUUAUGUUGCCACUUGUUAUAACCCUUGAUACUUGGUUCAAGUAGCAAAGUGUUGGGGUGGGAUGCUGGUAGGUUUCCAAUUUCAUUUUCAGGGGAGGAAAAAAUUGUUACCUAUAUAAAAUGUUUAUUUUGUUGUGAUACUUAUUUACAAACAUAAGUGACUUUAACUUCUUCCUGUUAAAACAUACAAGAAGAAACCUAUGUUAUUUACAAUAAGCAUUAAUGAUUUUUAGCUUUUUCAUUAUGUAUUGUAUGUCAGCUUUGAAAUUUCUGCCCUGUCCCUUUUUCUUUUCCCAUUCUCAACUUCUCAUUGUUGGAUUACAGAUAUAUAUAGACUGUUUGCAAAAGUCAAGAUUCCAACAUUCAUAGAUUACUUGGGAAUUGUUGUUGAGCUUCUCCUUGUUGGACUACAUAUAUAUACGGACUUUUUGAAGAAACCAACUUUGUAGCAUUCAUAGAUUACUUGGGAACUGUUUUUGAGGUGAUGGAAGAGGACAUGUUCUGUUACAUUCAUGAAGGCGGUCAGCUAGUUAAAUGUGUUGGAGGGUCUGUUCAAUAUCAAGGUGGUCGUAGCGAAUCGAUGGUUGUUAGUCGACAUAUGUCACAUAGUGAUUUUGUUUCAAAACUGUGUGAUGCAUUGCACUUUGACCAGAAUUCUAUCAAAUUGGAAUUCACGGUCAAGUUUGAGCCAUCAUGUCUACUACCGUUGCAUGAUGAUGCAGCCCUACUUAAGAUGUUUCGAUUCAACGAAAUGUUUUGUCACGUCUAUGUCUCAUCAUCAAGUGAAGUUGUUGAAGGCUAUAUAGCACCGACUAGGU